ACGUACACUCCUACGGGAGGCAGCAGUGGGGAAUUUUGGACAAUGGGCGAAAGCCUGAUCCAGCCAUGCCGCGUGCAGGAUGAAGGCCUUCGGGUUGUAAACUGCUUUUGUACGGAACGAAACGGCCUUUUCUAAUAAAGAGGGCUAAUGACGGUACCGUAAGAAUAAGCACCGGCUAACUACGUGCCAGCAGCCGCGGUAAUACGUAGGGUGCAAGCGUUAAUCGGAAUUACUGGGCGUAAAGCGUGCGCAAGCGGUUAUGUAAGACAGUUGUGAAAUCCCCGGGCUCAACCUGGGAACUGCAUCUGUGACUGCAUAGCUAGAGUACGGUAGAGGGGGAUGGAAUUCCGCGUGUAGCAGUGAAAUGCGUAGAUAUGCGGAGGAACACCGAUGGCGAAGGCAAUCCCCUGGACCUGUACUGACGCUCAUGCACGAAAGCGUGGGGAGCAAACAGGAUUAGAUACCCGUGUAGUCCCAUG
rnacentral:rRNA from 1 species